rnacentral:rRNA from 1 species
AUUGAACGCUGGCGGCAGGCCUAACACAUGCAAGUCGAGCGGAUGAAGGGAGCUUGCUCCUGGAUUCAGCGGCGGACGGGUGAGUAAUGCCUAGGAAUCUGCCUGGUAGUGGGGGAUAACGUCCGGAAACGAGCGCUAAUACCGCAUACGUCCUGAGGGAGAAAGUGGGGGAUCUUCGGACCUCACGCUAUCAGAUGAGCCUAGGUCGGAUUAGCUAGUUGGUGGGGUAAAGGCCUACCAAGGCGACGAUCCGUAACUGGUCUGAGAGGAUGAUCAGUCACACUGGAACUGAGACACGGUCCAGACUCCUACGGGAGGCAGCAGUGGGGAAUAUUGGGCAAUGGGCGAAAGCCUGAUCCAGCCAUGCCGCGUGUGUGAAGAAGGUCUUCGGAUUGUAAAGCACUUUAAGUUGGGAGGAAGGGCAGUAAGUUAAUACCUUGCUGUUUUGACGUUACCAACAGAAUAAGCACCGGCUAACUUCGUG